GACGUAGGGCGCGAGCGUUGUCCGGAUUUAUUGGGCGUAAAGAGCUCGUAGGCGGCUUGUCGCGUCGGCUGUGAAAUCCCGUGGCUCAACUGCGGGUCUGCAGCCGAUACGGGCAGGCUAGAGUUCGGUAGGGGAGACCGGAAUUCCUGGUGUAGCGGUGAAAUGCGCAGAUAUCAGGAAGAACACCCGUGGCUAAGGCGGCUCUCUAGUACGGUACUGACGCUGAGACGCGAAAGCGUGGGGAGCGAACAGG
rnacentral:rRNA from 1 species